GGGCUCACUUUGGCAGCACUUACCCCAGAACUGGAAAGAUACUGGGAGGAUUAGCAUGACCCCUCCUUGGAUGAUGUGCAGAUUUGUGACAUGUUCCAUAUUUUC
ensembl:snRNA U6 U6 spliceosomal RNA